ACAACCACAACAACCAUGGUAUUUUCAAUUAUUUUCACUCUACACCUGUUCCCAUUUGAUUUAGACAACAAAUAAAUUUCAUUUUACAGAGACCGGCAGUGUGUCCAACAAUUAACUGCACCGUGGAUAUCAGUAAACAGAACGAAGUAAAAAACUUCACGGCUGUCAAUCCGUACGGGGUUCUGCUCUCUGUUGGCUGGGUGAUUAUGGCGUGCAACAAGAAGUACGUCCACUCAGAAAUUACCGUAAGUUUACCUUUUAGCCGGUUAUAUAAUGAUUAAAAACACUUGGUGCCGUGGAAAUAUAUGUUGC